ACCAACUGACAGUCGGGAUCUUCAGGC
rnacentral:piRNA from 1 species